rnacentral:rRNA from 1 species
GACGAACGCUGACGGCGUGCUUAACACAUGCAAGUCGAAGGGAGUGGCGAACGGGUGAGUAACACGUGAGUAACCUGCCCUUUUCUUUGGGAUCAGCCUGGGAAACUGGGUCUAAUACUGGAUGGAUUGGGAUGGGCUCGCGGCUUCUCAGCUUGUUGGUGGGGUGAUGGCUUACCAAGGCGUUGCCGGGUAGCCGGCCUGAUAGGGUGGUCUGGCACUCUGGGACUGACAUACGGCCUAGGCGCCUACGGGAGGGAGAAGUGGGGGCUAUUGCACAAUGGAUGAACGACUGAUGCAGCGACGGCGUGUGGGGGAUGCAGGCCUUAGGGUUGUAAACUCCUGGCGCCAGCGGAACGGUAGUGGGUAAAGAAGCGCCGGCUAACUACGUGCCAGCAGCCGCGGUAAUAC